rnacentral:rRNA from 1 species
UACGUAGGGACCGAGCGUUGUUCGGAUUUACUGGGCGUAAAGGGCGCGUAGGCGGCGCGGUAAGUCACUUGUGAAAUCUCUGAGCUUAACUCAGAACGGCCAAGUGAUACUGCAGUGCUAGAGUGUGGAAGGGGCAAUCGGAAUUCUUGGUGUAGCGGUGAAAUGCGUAGAUAUCAAGAGGAACACCUGAGGUGAAGACGGGUUGCUGGGCCAACACUGACGCUGAGGCGCGAAAGCCAGGGGAGCAAACGGG